GCUGACAAAAAGAUUUCUGAGGUCAUGACAUUAGGGGUCAAAAUCUUUGUCUUUGAUUUUAACUUUUCCCUUAGAGCCCUCUCAAUGAGCCAAGAGAUAAAGGAGGAAAGCCACUGGUUGCUCACUAAACCUGCUCCCUUUUUUGGCAGAACCUAAAGAACUGUGUGACUCUGAGGCACACCUAAAUUACACUGGAUUGUCACUUUUGUGAAAACUAAACAUCUACUAUGGAAACACAGAAUUUCACUUGUCAAUAGCUUUUGAUCAGUUUUAAUACACUGUAACAAGAAUGAUCAUUGUAGUAAAAACACAUAUUUUAAUUUCAAGAAGAAAAGUUGUCCAAGGACAGGAGGAUGUAAUGAGAAUGAGAGUAACCAGAAAAGUAUGUACUAGAAAUCCGCAAGGAAGACAAGGCCUAAGUAGUCUGGAUAAGAUAAAAGGGGCAGAAAGACACUGGUAAGGUCCCUUGUUGCUUUUGCUACGUUCUGCCUACCAUGAACUGUUCUCUUUGAAGCUACCCUGCCUUGAAGCCAGCCAACUAUGGACUGAAACAUCUACAAACUAUGAGCUAAGCCUUUCCUCCUUUAACUUAGGGUACCAGUUAUUUUGUCUCACCAAUAAGAAAAGUAACUAAUACACCAAUAUUUGUAAAUACCCAAGUGGGCACAUUUAGAGAAGAGGCAAAUGCCCAUAUAAACAAAUGAGCUUGAGACCUACUGCUAAAUGAUUAAUCAGAGCAUAGACACAACACAUGAAUAAUGUGUGCACUUGAUAAUGGACAGAUGUGGUUGGGUCUAAUAUUAAUUUUUCAUAAUUCAAUAUGUUGUGUGUUGUAACAGACAUACUUAAUGCACUAAUGUGAAAUAAAGAUAUCUUUUCUGAAUUUUGGUGUCUGUGAUUUUUUGUCAUUUUAUGUAGACCAUCAUUCUUAACUGUCAUUAUUUUUGUUGCCACUCCUGUGUCUUAAGUCCUCAAUUAAGAUUUGAUUCAAUGGAAACUUUGUGAAGCCUCACCUGCAAGAGAUCACGACUUGGGUGAAAACUUCAUGGGCUAAAAUCACUGACAGCUGUGUUGUCAAUGCAUUACAUGUAGGCUACAUGCAGAAGUGCUCAUUUAAGGACAGCUCUAUUGCUGGACAUAAGAAAUUGGGGCCAAUGGCUCUACAGAAAAUGGGGUCAUAAAAAAUUCAGUCUGGAAUUUGGAGUUUCGAGAGUUAUGAUGAUGUUCCAGAAGAUGACAUGACUGAAUUUGAAUAAAUGUAAAUUUUUGUACGUGAAUAAUGUAGAUUGUGGUACACAAAUAAAUGUAGCUUGUUGUACAUGAAAAAAUAAGACACUUCUGGGCUGGGGAUUUAGCUCAGUGGUUCUACUGCCUGCCUGGCAAGCACAA
rnacentral:lncRNA from 1 species